rnacentral:rRNA from 1 species
GGAUAACCUACCCUUAGGACCGGGAUAACCCUGGGAAACUGGGGAUAAUACUGGAUAGGCAAUUUUUCCUGUAAUGGUUUUUUGUUUAAAUGUUUUUUCGCCUAAGGAUGGGUCUGCGGCCGAUUAGGUAGUUGGUUAGGUAAUGGCUUACCAAGCCGUUGAUCGGUACGGGUUGUGAGAGCAAGAGCCCGGAGAUGGAACCUGAGACAAGGUUCCAGGCCCUACGGGGUGCAGCAGGCGCGAAACCUCCGCAAUGUGAGAAAUCGCGACGGGGGGAUCCCAAGUGCCAUUCUUAACGGGAUGGCUUUUCAUUAGUGUAAAGAGCUUUUGGAAUAAGGGCUGGGCAAGACCGGUGCCAGCCGCCGCGGUAACACCGGCAGCUCUAGUGGUAGCAGUUUUUAUUGGGCCUAAAGCGUCCGUAGCCGGUUUAAUAAGUCUCUGGUGAAAUCCUGUAGCUUAACUGUGGGAAUUGCUGGAGAUACUAUUAGACUUGAGACCGGGAGAGGUUAGAGGUACUCCCAGGGUAGAGGUGAAAUUCUGUAAUCCUGGGAGGACCGCCUGUUGCGAAGGCGUCUAACUGGAACGGUUCUGACGGUGAGGGACGAAAGUUAGGGGCGCGAACCGGAUUAGAU